CGACCACCACCAUCAGUUUUACAAUGCACCGUAAUUGCAAUGUCUCUGUGCCCAUAGCUCAUCUCUCUGCUCACCUGGAGGACUAAAGUGUGGCUUGUGGGCUAAGGGGAGCAGACAAACCAACAGCCCUCAUUCGCCAUACUGCUCUCUGGGUGCUGCUUCAGAGGAUGCUGCCUGAACCAGCCAUCCACAAUAAUCACAGUAAAUCAGGAGUCAUUGAAACAAUUUCACAAGCUUGGGAUAGUUUCACCUCUAUCAUGUCCAUCCAUCCAGUGUCUGUAGCUGCUUAUCCUGAUCCGGGCUGCCUCCCCCAGCACUGAACCCCUCCGGCAGGAGAGUGGGCCUCACCUCUGGCAGCGGUAUGCCGUUGAUGAUGAGGUCAGGCUGCUGUGGGCCCUGUCCGCUGAAGGUGUUGUGAUAACCAUGGUUGGCGGCGGCA